GGGAGUGGAUGGGGCCCGGUGGCUCUCACGGACUUCAAACCCGUCGGGGGGGUAACAUCCCUGGAAGGUUCGACUCCUUCCCGCUCCCGCCA
rnacentral:tRNA from 1 species